GUCGAGAAUCUUCCGCAAUGCGCGAAAGCGUGACGGAGCGACACCGCGUGAUGGAUGAAGUCCUUCGGGGCGUAAACAUCUUUUAUAAAGGAGGAAAUUUUUGACGUUACUUUAUGAAUAAGGGGCUCCCAAUCUCGUGCCAGCAGGAGCGGUAAUACGAGAGCCUCAAGCGUUAUCCGGAAUCAUUGGGCGUAAAGGGUGCGUAGGUGGUUUGAUUAGUCUCCCGUUAAAACUUCGAGCUUAACUCGAAAAGAGCGGGGGAAACGGUCAACUAGAGUAUGUGAGAGGUGUGUGGAACUCAUGGUGUAGGGGUGAAAUCCGUUGAUAUCAUGGGGAACACCAAAAGCGAAGGCAGCACACUGGCACAUCACUGACACUGAGGCACGAAACCUAAGGUAGCGAAUGGGAUUAGAUACCCCGGUAGUCC
rnacentral:rRNA from 1 species